rnacentral:rRNA from 1 species
CUCGUAGGCGGUUUGUCGCGUCGGGAGUGAAAUCCAGGUGCUUAACACCUGGCUUGCUUUCGAUACGGGCAGACUGGAGGCAUGCAGGGGAGAACGGAAUUCCUGGUGUAGCGGUGAAAUGCGCAGAUAUCAGGAGGAACACCGGUGGCGAAGGCGGUUCUCUGGGCAUGUUCUGACGCUGAGGAGCGAAAGUGUGGGAGCGAACA